rnacentral:rRNA from 1 species
AGAACGAACGCUGGCGGCAUGCCUAACACAUGCAAGUCGAACGAGACCUUCGGGUCUAGUGGCGCACGGGUGCGUAACGCGUGGGAAUCUGCCCUUAGGUUCGGAAUAACUCAGGGAAACUUGAGCUAAUACCGGAUGAUGUCGCAAGACCAAAGAUUUAUCGCCUAGGGAUGAGCCCGCGUAGGAUUAGCUUGUUGGUGAGGUAAAGGCUCACCAAGGCUACGAUCCUUAGCUGGUCUGAGAGGAUGAUCAGCCACACUGGGACUGAGACACGGCCCAGACUCCUACGGGAGGCAGCAGUGGGGAAUAUUGGACAAUGGGCGAAAGCCUGAUCCAGCAAUGCCGCGUGAGUGAUGAAGGCCUAGGGUUGUAAAGCUCUUUACCCGGGAAGAUAAUGACUGUACCGGAGAAUAGCCCGGCUAACUCCGUGCCAGCAGCCGC